rnacentral:rRNA from 1 species
GACGUAGGGCGCGAGCGUUUGUCCGGAUUUAUUGGGCGUAAAGAGCUCGUUAGGCGGCUUGUCGCGUCGACCGUGAAAACUUGGGGCUCAACCCCAAGCCUGCUGGUCGAUACGGCAGGCUAGAGUUCGGUAGGGGAGACGUGGAAUUCCGUGGUGUAGCGGUGAAAUGCGCAGAUAUCAGGAGGAACACCGGUGGCGAAGGCGGGUCUCUGGGCAUCUCCUGACGCUGAGGCGCGAAAGCGUGGGGAGCAAACGGG